rnacentral:rRNA from 1 species
CCUACGGGUGGCUGCAGUGGGGAAUAUUGCACAAUGGGGGAAACCCUGAUGCAGCGACGCCGCGUGAGUGAAGAAGUCUUUCGGUAUGUAAAGCUCUAUCAGCAGGGAAGAAAAUGACGGUACCUGAUUAAUAAGCCCCGGCUAACUACGUGCCAGCAGCCGCGGUAAGACGUAGGGGGCGAGCGUUAUCCGGAUUUACUGGGUGUAAAGGGAGCGUAGACGGGAGCACAAGUCAGUAGUGAAAUGGCGGGGCUUAACCGUGGAACUGCAUUGGAAAAUGUGCAGCUAGAGUGCAGGAGAGGUAAGUGGAAUUCCUAGUGUAGCGGUGAAAUGCGUAGAUAUUAGGAGGAACACCAGUGGCGAAGGCGGCUUACUGGACUGUAACUGACGUUGAGGCUCGAAAGCGUGGGGAGCAAACAGGAUUAGAUACCCGUGUAGUC